rnacentral:rRNA from 1 species
CUGCCCAAUGAGGAUUUAAAUGGCCGCGGUAUUUUGACCGUGCAAAGGUAGCAUAAUCUAUAGUUUUUUAAUUGGAAGCUGGAAUGAAAGGUUGGAUGAGAAAAUAACUGUCUCUAUUUAAAUUAUUUAGAAUUUUAUUUUUAAGUUAGAAAGCUUAAAUAUAAAUGGAAGACGAGAAGACCCUAUAGAGUUUUAUAAAUUUUGAUUUAAAAAGUUUUUAGAAUUAAUAAAUUUUUAUAUUAAUAUUUAUUUAGUUGGGGUGAUUGAAAAAUUAAAAUAACUUUUUUUUAUUAAUUAUACAUUGAUUUAUGGGUAUAUGAUCCUUAAAUGAAGAUUAAAAGAAAUAAUUACCUUAGGGAUAACAGCGUAAUUUUUUUAAAGAGUUCAAAUCGAAAAAAAAGAUUGCGACCUCGAUGUUGGAUUAAAAUAAAAUUUUGGUGUAGGGGCUAAAGUAUUUGGGUCUGUUCGACCCUUAAAAUUUUACAUGAUCUGAGUUUAAACCGGUGU